rnacentral:misc_RNA from 1 species
AACGCACCUUGCGCGCCUUGGUAUUCCGAGGAGCAUGCCUGUUUGAGUGUCGUGAACGCAUCGAACCCCAUCUUCUGUUCCUGCAUGCAGGUCGGGCUGGGGAUCGGACUUGGACGCCUGCCUUGCACUUGUGCAAAGCUCGUCUUGAAAUGCAUCAGCUGGUUGCCGCGACCACGAACGCCGUCCCAAAAUGCCCGGUGUGAUAAUAAAACUUGCACUGCCGCUGACUGGUCGGAUUGUGUCUGCCGUACGCCAACUUCCAAUCGUCCAGCUCUGGACAACGCCCCGCAAGGGGUGUUCACCCAUCUCAUUUGACCUCAAAUCAGGUAGGACUACCCGCUGAACUUAA